GAACUAUGCAACCGCUUGCUCAGUCCCACCUUUUUCUCCCCCCCUCUUCCACAGGGAUGUGGAGGAGAAUUGAAAGAAUGUAAAUCUCAUGGGUUGAAAUAAGACCAGUCCAGUAACUAAGUUUCCUACAACCUCCUGUUCUCCUGAAUAAGUGAUAUCUCCAUCCCCAAAAUGCGUCCUGCCGUUCCCUUUGAUGAGACACGAUCAGCUUGAUAAGCCCAUUUCUGCUGUGGGUUUGAUUCAGCUGUCUACAAAAAAACUUGGGUUCUUGGAAGAGCUCACAGGCAGGUGCUGAGGGAAAGUGCUUGCUGCAGGAGACCUACAGAGACAGGGGAAAGAGGCAA